rnacentral:rRNA from 1 species
GAUGAACGCUGGCGGCGUGCUUAACACAUGCAAGUCGAACGGAAAGGCCCCAGCUUGCUGGGGUACUCGAGUGGCGAGCGGGUGAGUAACACGUGGGUGAUCUGCCCUGCACUUUGGGAUAAGCUUGGGAAACUGGGUCUAAUACCGAAUAUGACCACUUCUUGGAUGUUGUGGUGGAAAGCUUUUGCGGUGUGGGAUGAGCCUGCGGCCUAUCAGCUUGUUGGUGGGGUAAUGGCCUACCAAGGCGGCGACGGGUAUCCGGCCUGAGAGGGUGUACGGACACAUUGGGACUGAGAUACGGCCCAGACUCCUACGGGAGGCAGCAGUGGGGAAUAUUGCACAAGGGGCGCAAGCCUGAUGCAGCGACGCCGCGUGGGGGAUGAAGGCCUUCGGGUUGUAAACUCCUUUCGCUAUCGACGAAGCCACUUGUGGUGACGGUAGGUAGAUAAGAAGCACCGGCUAACUACGUGCCAGCCGCCGCCGUAA